CGGACGGGUGGGUAACGCGUGGAUAACCUGCCUCACACUGGGGGAUAACAGUUAGAAAUGGCUGCUAAUACCGCAUAAGCGCACAGUACCGCAUGGUACGGUGUGAAAAACCCAGGUGGUGUGAGAUGGAUCCGCGUCUGAUUAGCCAGUUGGCGGGGUAACGGCCCACCAAAGCGACGAUCAGUAGCCGACCUGAGAGGGUGACCGGCCACAUUGGGACUGAGACACGGCCCAA
rnacentral:rRNA from 1 species